rnacentral:rRNA from 1 species
CUACGCACUCCUACGGGGAGCAGCAGUGGGGAAUAUUGCACAAUGGGCGCAAGCCUGAUGCAGCCAUGCCGCGUGUAUGAAGAAGGCCUUCGGGUUGUAAAGUACUUUCAGCAGUGAGGAAGGUGGGUAUGUUAAUAGCAUACUCAUUUGACGUUAGCUGCAGAAGAAGCACCGGCUAACUCCGUGCCAGCAGCCGCGGUAAUACGGAGGGUGCGAGCGUUAAUCGGAAUUACUGGGCGUAAAGCGCAUGCAGGUGGUUUGUUAAGUCAGAUGUGAAAGCCCGGGGCUCAACCUCGGAAUUGCAUUUGAAACUGGCAAACUAGAGUACUGUAGAGGGGGUAGGAAUUUCAGGUGUAGCGGUGAAAUGCGUAGAGAUCUGAAGGAAUACCGGUGGCGAAGGCGGCCCCCUCGGACAGAUACUGACACUCAGAUGCGAAAGCGUGGGGAGCAAACAGGAUUAGAUACCCUGGUAG